AAUGUGGAGAAGAUCUUUGAGCCACUACAUCAAGAUUCAAGAAACUCAUAUAAUUGAACCAUAUAACCUCUAUCUUUAAUUCAUGAAGAUAUAAUUACAUUGUCAAGGUAUGAAACUUGGAACAACUAUAAUUUUAUGGACAUUAGCAAAGAUAAAGACACGAAAUUCAUUAUAUCCAAAAUGCACACUUUAAUGUGCUUCCAUAUAAUAAAAAAAAUAAAAUAAGAACACUUUUUUUUGAUAAAAAUCAGGCACUAGGAUUUAGACUUAGUAUCAAACUACUUGUAGCAACAGAUCUAUGCCCACAGGCUCUUAGAGAUUACGAAAUGAAAUUACGUAUUUUAACAAGCAACAACUCUGAAAUGCAAGAAAAUGUAUCAGUUAUUUAUAAUAAGUCCCAAUGAAGAUAUGAGAAAACAAGAAAAAUAAUAAAUACUGUCCAUCUUGUUCUUGAAUAACAUAUCUUUUAAAUGAAAAAGAUGGCCAGAAGAUAGAGGAUAGUCAGUGAUGGUUCUAGCAAUUUCAGCAUUUUCCGUCACCAAAUUUACAUGGAAAUUCAAAUUAGUCACUGAAUAGCCAAUAACUUUUCUGUUUUGAAAAUAAUGGGCAAAGAACUUAUACAGAAACAGUUGACUCAAAGGCAGGAGAACACAAUUUACAUCUGUAUAAUAAAACC
rnacentral:misc_RNA from 1 species